rnacentral:rRNA from 1 species
UCCAGGCCCUACGGGGCGCAGCAGGCGCGAAACCUCCACAAUGUGAGAAAUCGCGAUGGGGGGAUCCCAAGUGCCAUUCUUAACGGGAUGGCUUUUCAUUAGUGUAAAAAGCUUUUGGAAUAAGAGCUGGGCAAGACCGGUGCCAGCCGCCGCGGUAACACCGGCAGCUCUAGUGGUAGCAAUUUUUAUUGGGCCUAAAGCGUCCGUAGCCGGUUUAAUAAGUCUCUGGUGAAAUCCUGUAGCUUAACUAUGGGGAUUGCUGGAGAUACUAUUAGACUUGAGACCGGGAGAGGUUAGAGGUACUCCCAGGGUAGAGGUGAAAUUCUGUAAUCCUGGGAGGACUGCCUGUUGCGAAGGCGUCUAACUGGAACGGUUCUGACGGUGAGGGACGAAAGUUAGGGGCGCGAACCGGAUUAGAUACCCGGGUAGUCCUAACUGUAAACGAUGCGGACUUGGUGUUGGGGUGGCUUUGAGCUGCUCCAGUGCCGAAGGGAAGCUGUUAAGUCCGCCGCCUGGGAAGUACGGUCGCAAGACUGAAACUUAA